AUCUCCAUGGUGUAGUGGUUAUCACGUGGAUCUCAUUUAUCAAUGACCUAAAGGUUCACUUUCAGGAAACCCCAAGGCCGGGAUCAAUCCUGGCUUGGGACA